rnacentral:rRNA from 1 species
AGAGUUUGAUCAUGGCUCAGGACGAACGCUGGCGGCGUGCCUAAUACAUACAAGUCGAGCGCGAGAAGCAAGCAGAUUCCUUCAAAAAGAAACUUGUGGAACGAGCGGCGGAUGGGUGAGUAACACGUAGGUAACCUACCUAUAAACUUAAAAUAACUUCGGGAAACCGGAGCUAAUACCGAAUAUACUUUUACUCUAAGAAGUAGAAAGUGAAAGACGGUUCUGCUGUCACUUACAGAUGGGCCUGCGGCGCAUUAGCUAGUUGAUAAGGUAAGAGCUUACCAAGGCGACGAUGCAUAGCCGACCUGAGAGGGUGAUCGGCCACACUGGGACUGAGACACGGCCCAGACUCCUACGGGAGGCAGCAGUAAAGAAUCUUCCGCAAUGGACGCAAAUCUGACAAAACAACACCGCGUGAGUGAGGAAGGUUUUCGGAUCGUAAAGCUCUGUUGUGAGGGAAGAACACAAAUAGAAAUCACUGCCUAUCCCUUGACGGUACCUCACCAGCAAGCCACGGCUAACUACGUGCCAGCAGCCGCGGUAAUACGUAGAUAGCAAACGUUGUCCGAAAUUAUUGGGCGUAAAGAACACGCAGACGGUCUUAUAAGUCUGAUGUGAAAUCCCACGGCUCAACCGUGGAAGGUCAUUGGAAACUAUAGGACUUGAGUACAAAAAAGGAGAGUGGAAUUCCACGUGUAGCGGUGAAAUGCGUAGAGAUAUGAAAGAACACCAGUGGCGAAGGCGGCUCUCUGGUCUGUUACUGACGCUGAGGCGCGAAAGCGUGGGUAGCGAACAGGAUUAAAUACCCUGGUAGUCCACGCUGUAAACGAUGAGUGCUAGGUGUUGGAGGCUUCCACCCUCAGUGCCGGAGCUAACACAUUAAGCACUCCGCCUGGGGAGUACGGCCGCAAGGCUGAAACUCAAAGGAAUUGACAAAGACCCGCACAAACAAUGGAGCAUGUGGUUUAAUUCGAAGCAACGCGAAGAACCUUACCAGGUCUUGACAUCCCGAUGGUCGCUAUGAAAACAUAAUUUUCCCUUCGGGGACAUCGGUGACAGGUGGUGCAUGGUUAUCGUCAGCUCGUGUCGUGAGAUGUUGGGUUAAGUCCCGCAACGAGCGCAACCCUUAAAAAUAGUUGCCAUCAUUCAGUUGGGCACUCUACUCUGACUGCCAAUGACAAACCGGAGGAAGGUGGGGAUGACGUCAAAUCAUCAUGCCCCUUAUGACCUGAGCUACACACAUACUACAAUGGAUGGUACAACAAACAGCGAACCCGCAAGGGGGAGCGAAUCCCACAAAGCCAUUCUCAGUUCGGAUUGCAGGCUGCAACUCGCCUGCAUGAAGUCGGAAUCGCUAGUAAUCGCGGAUCAGCAUGCCGCGGUGAAUCCGUUCCCAAAUCUUGUACACACCGCCCGUCACACCACAAGAGUUUGUAACACCCGAAGUCGGUGGGGCAACCGCAAGGAACUAGCCGCCGAAGGUGGGACAAAUGAUUGGGAUGAAGUCGUAACAAGGUAGCCGUA